rnacentral:rRNA from 1 species
UGAGGAAUAUUGGGCAAUGGGCGAAAGCCUGACCCAGCAACGCCGCGUGGAGGAAGACGGCCUUCGGGUUGUAAACUCCUUUUACGGGGGAAGAGGAAGGACGGUACCCCGAGAAUAAGUCACGGCUAACUACGUGCCAGCAGCCGCGGUAAUACGUAGGUGACAAGCGUUAUCCGGAAUUACUGGGCGUAAAGCGCACGCAGGCGGCGCAUUAAGUCUGGCGUGAAAUCUCCCGGCUUAACUGGGAGGGGUCGUUGGAAACUGAUGUGCUUGAGGCGGUGAGAGGGGUGUAGAAUUCCCGGUGUAGUGGUGGAAUGCGUAGAUAUCGGGAGGAAUACCAGUGGCGAAAGCGGCACCCUGGCACUGGCCUGACGCUCAUGUGCGAAGGCGUGGGGAGCGAACGGG